GAUCACACCACUGCACUCCAGCCUGGGCAACAGAGUGAGGCCCUGCCUCAAAUAAAUAAAUAAAAAUAAAAAAUCUCUUGAGACAUAGCAGGCACACAGGAUUGGAGAAUCUGGCUUGUGCUCUCAGCUUUGAUACUAAUUAGCUAACUAGUGUACCUUGGAUCUGACUUCUUCAGGCACUGGUUUCUUCAUCUGAAAACGAGUUUAACCAGAUUGUCCUUAAGGUCUCUUUUGACAUUAAUAUUUUACAGCAGCUCAGCCCCUUUGCUCGAGGAGCAUCUCAGCCCUGGAAAGGACAAUGGGUUUGGAAAUAGACGGACUUUCUUCAAGCCCCAGCAUAACCACUUAAUGGUUUCAUAACUAGACAAAGACCCGUUGACCAAGAGGCUGGAUGGAGCCCUGCCAAAGCAUCAACACAGGACCAGACAAAAGUCAGCUCACUGGGGGCCAGACGGAGUCGUGCUGAGGUCGAAAAUACGGAAUCUUCAGUCCAGAAACCUGCAACUGAGCCGGAGCAGCGGGAGGAAAAGGCGGGCAAAGACAUCUUCAUCAAGUCCUGCAGCAUCGGAAGGAGUUCAGCCCCUAGGUCUUCUGCUCCGGAAGUUUAGGACCCACAGAAGGGCAAGGCUACUUCUGAUUGAUGUCACCGUGACUCUGGUCUACAAAGUUGAGGACUAAACUCUGACCGUUUUCUUCUUUUGUCCAAAUUCCUAUCUAAGGAUCCUGGAGAGUCACCCCCUUCAAACCAUAAAGCCUCAUCAGAUGGGUUUUAUUUAACCUUAUAUAACCUGGCUGACUUUCCAACCAGGCUCUGGCGUAACAUCACAUGGCAGAUAAGGAAACCAAAAUAUUUCCACCCCAAAUAUGUUUUUUUGCCAUAUCUUGAAAUAGCCCUGCAAAGCUGUCUCUUGUGGGGAAAAUCUACACUCGGUAGAGAAUCCCUUUCCCUUUCCAGCCAGCCUUUUUCCUGAUCCAGGAGAGAAUCAACUGGGCAAUUGGCACUUUUAAAAGUCUGUUAAGAAAUAUUUGCAGUCUGUUCUCUUUGAAGCCUGCUGCCUGGAGGCUCCGUCUGCAUAAUGAGAAUCCUGGUCUCCACAACCCCUUAGUUCAGUGGUCCCCAACCUUUUUUGACACCAGGAACCAGUUUUGUGGAAGACAAUUUUUUCCACGGAUGGUUUCACGGUUUCAGGAUGAUUCAAGUGCAUUACAUUUAUUGUGCACUUUAUUUCUAUUAUUACGUUGUAAUAUAUAGUGAAAUAAUUAUACAACUCAUCAUCAUGUAGAAUUAGUGGGAGCUCUGAGUUUGUUUUCCUGUAAUUAGAGGGUCCCAUUGAGGAAUUACGUGAGACAGCGACAGAUCAUCAGGUAUUAGGUUCUCAUAAAGAGUGCACAACCAGGCCAGGCGCGGUGGCUCAAGCCUGUAAUCCCAGCACUUUGGGAGGCCGAGACGGGCGGAUCAUGAGGUCAGGAGAUACAGACCAUCCUGGCUAACACGGUGAAACCCCGUCUCUACUAAAAAUACCAAAAACAUUAGCCGGGUGUGGUGGCGGGCGCCUGUAGUCCCAGCUAUUCCGGAGGCUGAGGGGAGAGUGGUGUGAACCUGGGAGGCAGAACUUGCAGUGAGCCAAGAUCCAGCCACUGCACUCCAGCCUGGGUGACAGAGUGAGACUCUGUCUCAAAAAAAAAAAAAAAGAAAGAAAGAAAAAAGAAAAAGAGUGCACAACCUAGAUUCCUCUCAUGCACUGUCCGCAAUAGGGGUUUGUGCUCCUGUGAGAAUCUAAUGCUAUGGCUGAUCUGACAGCAGGCGGAGCUCAGGGGUAAUUAGAGCAAUGGGGAGUGGCUGUAGAUACAGGUGAAGCUUCGCUCCUGCAGCUCAUCUCCUGCAGUAGGGCCCAGUUCCUAACAGGCCAUGGACUGGUACCUGUCUGUGCCCCCAAGGAUUGGGGACCCCUGCCUUAGGUAACCCAGACAUUCCUUUCUAUUGAUUAGAGGUCUUUAGACAAUAACUUUCAGCCAGUUACCAAUUAGAAAAUCAUUGAGUCCACCUAUGACUUGGAACAUCCCCGCCUGGAAUUGUCCUGCCUUUCCCACAGAACCAAUGUUCAUCUUACAUGUAUUGAUCGGUGUCUUAUGUCUCCCUAAAUUGUAUAAACUCAAGCUGUAGCCCGACCAUCGUAGGCACGUGCUCUUAGGACCUCUUGAGACUGUGCCUCGGGCCAUUGGUCACUCAUAUUUGGCUCAAAAUAAAUGUCUUCAAAUAUUUUA